CUGAGUACACAGGACCUAACUAUGGGAUGGAGCUGGAUCAUUCUCUUCCUAGUGGCAGCAGCUACAGGUGUCCACUCCCAGGUCCAGCUGCAGCAGUCUGGGGCUGAGAUGGGGAGACCUGGGGCCUCAGUGAAGUUGUCCUGCAAGGCUUCUGGCUUCACCUUCACCAGCUAUGCUAUGAACUGGGUGAAACAGAGGUCUGGACAGGGCCUGGAGUGGAUUGGAUAUAUUGAUCCAGAAUUUGAUAGUAGUGGCUACAAUGAGAAGUUCAAGGACAAGGUCAAACUGACUGCAGACACAUCCUCCAAUACAGCCUACAUGGAGCUCAGCAGCCUGACAUCUGAGGACUCUGCAGUCUAUUACUGUGCAAGAGACACAGUGUUGCAACCACAUCCUGAGUGUGUCAGAAACUCUGGAGGAGCAGGAAGCUGCCCUGCAACUGAGAAGACAGAGACCAUUAAUCUGAAUGUUUACUUAGAAAUAGUCAUUCUUAGUAUCCCUGUGUCUUAUAGGGUCACCUUUCCUAAAGGACAGCUGGCAAUAUGGUGA